GGGCGGGUAGCUCAACGGCUAGAGCAUUCGCCUUACACGCGAAGGGUUCGGGGUUCGAAUCCCCGCCCGCCCA
rnacentral:tRNA from 2 species